AUGAAGAACGUAGCGAAAUGCUAUAAGUAAUGUGAAUUGCAGAAUUCAGUGAAUCAUCGAAUCUUUGAACGCACAUUGCGCCCCCUGGUAUUCCGGGGGGCAUGCCUGUUCGAGCGUCAUUUCACCACUCAAGCCUCGCUUGGUAUUGGGCAACGCGGUCCGCCGCGUGCCUCAAAUCGACCGGCUGGGUCUUCUGUCCCCUAAGCGUUGUGGAAACUAUUCGCUAAAGGGUGUUCGGGAGGCUACGCCGUAAAACAACCCCAUUUCUAAGGUUGACCUCGGAUCAGGUAGGGAUACCCGCUGAACUUAAGCAUAUCAAUAAGCGGAGGA
rnacentral:misc_RNA from 1 species